rnacentral:rRNA from 1 species
GUGUUGUUGAGUGGCGCACGGGUGAGUAACACGUGAAUCACAUGCCCUUCAGAGGGGGAUAGCCCAGGGAAACUUGGAUUAAUACCCCAUGGUCUCGCAAGAGUAAAGGCGGCCCUAUGAAAGUAGGGCUGUCGCUGGAGGAUUGGUUCGCGCCCUAUCAGCUUGUUGGCGGGGUAACGGCCCACCAAGGCUACGACGGGUACCUGGUCUGAGAGGACGAUCAGGCACACUGGAACUGAGACACGGUCCAGACACCUACGGGUGGCAGCAGUCGAGAAUAAUUCACAAUGGGGGCAACCCUGAUGGUGCAACGCCGCGUGGAGGAUGACGGUCUUCGGAUUGUAAACUCCUGUCAUCCGGGAGUAAGACCCGGUCGUGAAUAACGGCCGGGGUUGAUAGUACCGGAAGAGGAAGGGACGGCUAACUUCGUGCCAGCAGCCGCGGUAAUACGAAGGUCCCGAGCGUUGUUCGGAAUCACUGGGCGUAAAGGGAGCGUAGGCGGCGCGGUAAGUCAGAUGUGAAAUCCCGGGGCUCAACCCCGGAACCGCAUCCGAUACUGCCGUGCUCAGAGGAUUGGAGAGGUAGCUGGAAUUCUUGGUGUAGCAGUGAAAUGCGUGGAUAUCAAGAGGAACACUCGUGGCGAAAGCGAGCUACUGGACAACUCCUGACGCUGAGGCUCGAAGGCCAGGGUAGCGAAAGGGAUUAGAUACCCCUGUAGUCCUGGCAGUAAACGGUGCACGCUUGGUGUGAGGGGAAUCGACCCCCCUCGUGCCGGAGCCAACGCGUUAAGCGUGCCGCCUGGGAAGUACGGUCGCAAGACUAAAACUCAAAGAAAUUGACGGGGACCCGCACAAGCGGUGGAGUAUGUGGCUCAAUUCGAUGCAACGCGAAGAACCUUACCAAGGCUUGACAUGGAUUUCUAAGCGCGUGAAAGCGCGUGACCCUUCGGGGGACUUCCACGGGUGCUGCAUGGCCGUCGUCAGCUCGUGUCGUGAGAUGUUGGGUUAAGUCCCGCAACGAGCGCAACCCUUGUGACUAGUUGCCAGCGCGUAAUGGCGGGAACUCUAGUCAGACUGCCCAGAUCAACUGGGAGGAAGGUGGGGACGACGUCAGGUCAGUAUGGCCCUUACGCCUUGGGCUGCACACGUACUACAAUGCCCAGCACAAUGAGAACCGAUGCCGCGAGGCGGAGGAAAUCUAUAAAACUGGGCCCA